rnacentral:misc_RNA from 1 species
GAUGAAGAACGCAGCGAAAUGCGAUACGUAAUGUGAAUUGCAGAAUUCAGUGAAUCAUCGAAUCUUUGAACGCACAUUGCACUCUCUGGUAUUCCGGAGAGUAUGCUUGUUUGAGUAUCUGUAAACAUCUCAAAUCUCUCUUCGCUUGCGUCGAGAGAAUUGGAUUUGAGCGAUCCCGACUCCUUCGUCAGAAAGAGGAGGGUCGCUUGAAAUGCAGGUGCAGCUGGACAUUCUUCUGAGCUAAAAGCAUAUCUAUUUAGUCCCGUCAAACGGAUUAUUACUUUUGCUUCAGCUAAUAUAAAGGUCGAAUGAACUACCAACGCUGAUUGCAGGAAAACUCGUUUGUAACAGAACUUGUAAACUCGAUCUCAAAUCAAGUAAGACUACCCGCUGAACUUAAGCAUAUCAAUAAGCGGAGGA